rnacentral:lncRNA from 1 species
GGAGGCGACUCCAAAUCUGGUGUCUUCUCGCCCGCUCCCAGAAGCGGUCCCUCCUAGCAGGGAGCAGCCGCGAGAAGCGGCCAAGGGAUGUAGACGGAGCUCUGGAAACCCGGGUUCCACCUGCCCCGCUUCUCCGCCUGCCGCUAGGUGCGGGCGCGGAUCCUCGAGGGUCCCAUAGCGCCCUGGGGCCGGUACUUAGCUGGCUUUUGUGGCCGCAACCCGUUUACACUCAGGAUCCUUUGGGCCCUACUUGGGCGUUAUUGCUCUCUUUUUCCCUUACCCCUAGAAGAGUCAGGAGGUUUGCAUCUGCCCGACGCGUCUCUCUAGGACCGACCGUGAGGGGCAGUAGGAGCGCAAAGCUCCGCGGAGCCUGGGUACCACUCUGGCUGGCAACUGGGGCGGGGAUAACAGCAAAAACUCCGUCUUCAGGGAGCAUCCAGGGUGGGGAAACCUCAGUGCGGUUAGCUUUGGGAACGAAGCAGAGAUGGGACAUCUCCCGAGGGGCGGGCAAAGCUCGGGAGGAGAGAGAUGGAAGCGGCGGACAGACAUAAUCAGAAGCCUGCAAUACCCAUGUGUCACUGAUCUGGAGACGACCCCCCGCGGGCAGCACUUCAUGACCCAGCGGCGCCCGGCCCAGUG